CCUACGGGAGGCAGCAGUGGGGGAUAUUGGACAAUGGGGGGAACCCUGAUCCAGCGACGCCGCGUGAGUGAAGAAGUAUCUCGGUAUGUAAAGCUCUAUCAGCAGGGAAGAAGAAAUGACGGUACCUGAGUAAGAAGCCCCGGCUAACUACGUGCCAGCAGCCGCGGUAAUACGUAGGGGGCAAGCGUUAUCCGGAAUUACUGGGUGUAAAGGGAGCGUAGACGGUGAUGUAAGUCUGGAGUGAAAGGCGGGGGCCCAACCCCCGGACUGCUCUGGAAACUAUGUGACUGGAGUGCAGGAGAGGUGAGCGGAAUUCCUAGUGUAGCGGUGAAAUGCGUAGAUAUUAGGAGGAACACCAGUGGCGAAGGCGGCUCACUGGACUGUAACUGACGUUGAGGCUCGAAAGCGUGGGGAGCAAACAGGAUUAGAUACCCGGGU
rnacentral:rRNA from 1 species